rnacentral:rRNA from 1 species
AUGUCUACCAAUGGCGUCGAGGUUAAUGGGAUGUGUGUUGCGCCCGGGGUAAUGAGCGGUUCUUUCUUCCCAGUGGAGUCACAGGAUUCCAUGAGCGUCCCAAAAGGCGCUGUCUGUGCUGCCGGCUGUGCGCGGCCGCCUGUGGAUGCAGGGGUGGGCGAGGUGUGCUCUGAAGCCACCAGCGGCUGGAUGCGCAGAUGCUUAUGCAGGGUCAGGGUUGGAAAAGCUCCCGAGGAGAGGGAGAUGAAUCCGAACAUGAUAUCAGCUCUGGAAUUGUCUGUCCGUGCUUAUGCAGAGAAGAGGGAUGGAACUGUUGUGUACCCAAGCAUUGGGACAAGUUUUGACUCGUUGGAUGAAGCUUAUGAAUUCUAUAAUCUGUAUUCGUGGGAGUGCGGGUUUGGUGUUAGACUUGCCAAGAGCAGAUUGAAUGUUGAAAGGAAGAGAUGCAUGCAAGAGAUUGUGUGCGCUUGUGCGGGGAAACCGUUGAGGGAAAAUAGCCGCUCGACCAGGUGCGGAUGCAAUGCCAUGAUUAGGCUGCUGCGGUCGAACGACAAGGGCUGGUAUAUAGCAGAACACAAGGAUGAUCAUAACCACCCGUUGUCGUUGACCUGUGGCCAUAAAAUGCAUUGGAAGUCGCAUAAGCAUAUAAACAAAUACACAAAAGAUCUAGUGAAACAGCUGAGAGACAACAAUGUGGGGCUGGGGAAAGUGUAG